rnacentral:lncRNA from 1 species
CUGAAAUGAAAUGGAGGUUUCUUUAUGAAAAUAGCCUUUGUUUGGCCUGCAGCGCUGGUAAUUCAUAAACAAUAAGCUGGGAGGCCAUUGUGGGGAUAAUAAUACAUGCAGUCUGCUGGAGACGCAGCGAAGGCAGCAGAACACUGCUGGAGAGUAUAUAAGGGUAGGAAGAGAAGAAGAGCAAUGGGAAAGAGAUGGCAGAGAAAUUCUAGGAGUGACAUGAAAUAUGGGGAAAGGAGUGACAGAUGAAGAUGGGGACAGAGAGAGGGAUGGGCCUCUGGGCAGACAUUGGCUCAGUCAGGAGUUGAGAGGAGAGAGGACUAUGCAGUAGGAUAAUGGUGCAGUAUUAGAUGAUAUAAAGUGUGGAGCAGAGAGGGGAAAUGGGGAAGACGGUGUGUGGCUGGAUUAGAGGAGAAGGGUGGAGGAGUCGGCAUAACAGAAGGACAGAUUUGACUCAGAAAGCUCAAUGGAUUACAGAUUUGUGAGCUGGUGGUUUGUCACUACUUGCUGCCAGUUAUGUUCUCUCUCUGCCUCUCUCUCUCUGCCAUUUCUCUCUCUCCAGCUCAACUUUAGGGCAGAGUAAGCUCUGUGGCUGAGUGUAUAGUCUGUCAGAGCAAACUGAGAGGGCAAAAGGGAGAGGCAGGAGAGCUGAUGAGGUGCUUAUAACUGGACCUGGUUCUCCUUGCUUUGGAAUGUGACUCCCUCAAUUCAAGAAGCUUCAAUGACUCACUCACUGAUGGGAUACUUCUCUCACUAAGAAAAUCUGGUGGAAUUAAGUCUGACAAAGACUCUUUGAUUGACAUGGGAGUGCAGCAAUGGGAGCGGAGCAUCCAAAUUCUCCAGCAUGUGGUCUCCUCUCCAGCUCCCAUCAACCCCCAGGAGAAGAUGAAGGGAGCUCUGAGUCUCUCAGGCGGAAGGUUGAAGCACAUCCCCAACACCCAGACAGAUGUCAAGAAGCUGGGGACCUCCCAGCCACCAGGAAAAUCAUCUUGUUCUUGGAGUUUAUUCACAAGGUCAGAUAGAAAUAGAUCCACACAUGUUAUUCUCUAUCAUGCAGAGUUCUCUAUCAUGCUCAUUCAAUAAUAGACGUGGGUGAUUUCUGUCCCAGGGGACUGAACUGUGUGCAAAUUAUUUGUUAAAUUGAGACCACAAUUAGUUGAAUGAGGUGUUAGUGAACCUGUUCACUCCUGUGUAAAGAACCUAUGGCUGUCAUGACUUCAAUUGACUCAAUGCAGUUACCAUUUUCUUUUGUUAAUCUAUGUAGGUUUUGUCAUAUGAUGAGCCUGGUGGAGAUGGAUACAACCAUACUCCCUGCAUCCAGCUUGAGGCCUGCUACCAGCAGGAACAUGGAGCACUCCAUGUCAGUGUCAGGAAGUUAGGAAUAUAUAUAAAACAUUCAAAAAAUAUUUAUAUAUAUACACACAGCUAAUACUCCGCUCAUAUGCAGAGUGGAGAAGCCCUCUGCACCAUAAACAUGUCUACUCGUGGAGUAACUCCCUGUCAGAGAGACUGAUUAGAGGGUUUUGCCAGAGGCCCUUGGCCAAUGGGAGGUCAUGUGUGAGGGCUUAGGGGUUAGAGGGAGAGACAGCGAAGUUACAGACAUGAAGAUACAACUUGAACCACAGAGUAAGGCAUUCAUUUGUCUGACUGGAAGGCACCCUUAUAGUCAACAAUGUAAAUGUUAACUCUCUUACUCUCUCUCUUUCAAGAGCGUUCAGUACACUCUUAGAAAGAAAGGUGUUAUCUAGAACUUCAGCUGUCCCCAUAGGAUGACCAUUUGAAGAACCCUUUUGGUUCCAUGUAGAAACCUUUUGGGUUUUGGGUUGGAACCAAAAAGGGUUCUCCUAUGGGGACAACCGAAUAACCCUAUCAAUCUCUUUCCAGGUGCUAGAGACAGAAUAUUCAAAGGACCUCCAGAGCCUUCAGACCAACUACUCUCCAGAGCACAGACAAGUAACCUCCACUGGUGGUAAUAUACUUUAUUCACUAUGUAACCCUUCACGAUGGCUGUCUGUCUGUGUGAUGACAUAUAGCAUAUUAUCCAGGGCCGCUGGUUGGAUUUACUGUACUCACUCCAAAACUCAUGCGACCUUCUCCCUGUAAAAGUCUCCCAGACUUGUAUAAAAACUAACGUGUCCAUCCCUCUGUUUCCCAGCUGAGUCUGCUGGUCCAUGGAACUCUAGAGCAGAACAUCAAAAAACCUGCCAUCCUGUUGCCAGCUAUCGACGGUUCCCUGAGGAAAGAUGCAAAUAUCAAGGCUUUAAAUGGUCAAAUUUGGGGGAUGACCACCAAAUUCAAUAAAGUUUUGCAGAAUCUACAAUAACUGUUUCUUAGCCUGUUCUCAUUUGUAUUAACUACUAUGGUAACUUAAACAUCUGGCAACAUGCAGACUUUAUCCAUCAAGACAAUACUUAUGAUUCUUAAGGGCUAAAAUCAAUGAAUACAUUUCUAUUUAUGUAUAAAGGACAUCACAUAGGUGUGCCAACUAAAAUAUAUAUCCCAGAGAAGACUGAAGAAUAGGACAAAUAGGC